rnacentral:rRNA from 1 species
UACGAAGGGGCUAGCGUUGCUCGGAAUCACUGGGCGUAAAGGGUGCGUAGGCGGGUCUUUUAAGUCAGGGGUGAAAUACCUGGAGCUCAACUCCAGAACGUGCCUUUGAUACUGAGGAUCUUGGAGUUCGGGAGAGGUGAGUGGAACUGGCGAGUGGUAGAGGUUGAAAUUCGUAGAGUAUUCGCAAGAACACCAGUGGCGAAGGCGGACUCGACUGGCCCGAGUAC